GACGAACGCUGGCGGCGUGCUUAACACAUGCAAGUCGAACGGAAAGGCCCUGCUUUUGUGGGGUGCUCGAGUGGCGAACGGGUGAGUAACACGUGAGUAACCUGCCCUUGACUUUGGGAUAACUUCAGGAAACUGGGGCUAAUACAGGAUAGGAGCUCCUGCUGCAUGGUGGGGGUUGGAAAGUUUCGGCGGUUGGGGAUGGACUCGCGGCUUACGAGCUUGUUGGUGGGGUAGUGGCUUACGAAGCCUUUGACGGGUACCCGGCCUGGGAGGGUGACCGGCCACAAUGCGACUAAGGGACGGCCCAGACUCCUACGGGAGGCAACAGUGGGGAGUAUUGCACAGUGAGCGGAAGCCUGAUGCGACAGCGCCGCGUGCGUAAUGACGGCCUUCGGGUUAUGAACCGCUUUCGCCUGUGACGAAGCGUGAGUGACGGUAAUGGGUAAAGAAGCACCGGCUAACUACGUG
rnacentral:rRNA from 1 species